UGUCUGCCUCGUUCCUGCAAC
rnacentral:piRNA from 1 species